AGAUCGUACGUUAAGGUUCCUAAGCAAUCACUUAGUGGAAAAGAAAGUAAUCAAGCGAUGACAACUAGGAGGUGGGCUUAGCAGCAGUCAUCCUUUGAAGAAAGCGUAAUAACUCACUGGUCUAGCUCCAUGGAAUAAAAAAUGUAUCAGGGUUCAAUUGAUUCAUCAAAGCGACGAAAUCUUGAAAUUUGCUUUUUCAAGUAU
rnacentral:ncRNA from 1 species